GGAGAGGUUCCCGAGCGGUCAAAGGGAGCAGACUGUAAAUCUGCCGGCCUAAGGCCUUCGGAGGUUCGAAUCCUCCCCUCUCCACCA
rnacentral:tRNA from 1 species